AGACACUUCUUUUGGAAUGCUGGUUGUUCCUGUCCUGCUCUCCUUCCAGUACAGAAUACCUCACCAAAAACGACAGAUGGAUUCAGCGGAGCUGCAGCUACGUCUAGCCCUACGAGAGGAAAGGAUCGAUGAACUCUGCGACCUCCUUCGCCAGUCCAUUCCUGCUUCACCGAUACCAGGAGUCGCCGCCCCUUCUCGUUCAUCCUCCCCUAUAUCCAUGCCUAGAUUAAUGCGCUGGACAGACAACCUCUGGGAACUGGUCGUGUGACUUGCAUGACCGAACGUAUCACCCUUCAGAUUGGCCUCGAUCCCUCUGAAGUCAUUCAGUGAAUGGUGUUGUCUUCACCUAAAGAACCCCUCAUCCUCGGUCACCUCUGGCUAAGCCUUCACGACCCUGCCAUCUUCUGGCGAUAAGGGGAACUGCUGUCAUGGUCUCCCACCUGUUUAGGAACUGCUUCAGUCUACCCUGUCGAGCCACCUCUAUAGAAGGAUCGGAGUCUGCCAUUCCAACCCACAUCCCACCUGUAUAUGCCCAGUUUGAGUGUCUUCAGCAAGAAAAAGGCGUCCAUUCUGCCCCCUCAUCGCCCGGAGGACUGCGCGAUCGACCUCCUUUCUGGGGCCUCACCCCCUAAGGGUCGGUCCUACCCCUUGUCCAGCCCAGAGAAUGAGGCUAUGGACACCUACAUAGUAGAGGCCCUCGACAUGGGAUUCAUCCGUCCAUCCACAUCUCCAGCUGCAUCCAGUUUAUUUUUUUGCUAAGGAAAAGGAUGGUAGUCUCUGUCCCUGCAUAGAUUACCGACCCCUCAAUGACCUGACCAUCAAGAAUUGCUUCCCUCUUCCUCUGAUUCCGGCCGCACUAGAACAAGUUGGACAGGCUACCAUCUACUCCAAACUGGACGUACGUAGUGCUUACAACCUGGUCCGUAUACGAAGUGAGGAUGAGUGGAAGCCAGGGUUCAUCACCGCUAGGGGUUACUAGGAAUACCUGAUUAUGCUCUCCGGUCUCACCACUACUCCCGCAGUCUUCCAGUCCAUCAUGAAUGAAGUUUUCCUGGAUAGGAUCAACCAGUUCAUCAUCGUGUACAUUGAUGAUAUCUUGAUCUACUCUCACUCCCUUGCAGAACACGUACAGCAUGUGCAACAGGUCCUCCAACGACUACAGGACCACCAUCUUUAUGUCAAGGCCGAGAAGAGCGCCUGUCACGUGACUACGGUAACCUUCCUAGGGUUCGUGCUGACACCAGGAGGGGUCAACAUGGAUGAAGGCAAAGUCAUGGCCAUGCUUAACUGGCCCAAACCUGCCACCGUAAAGGAACUACAAUGGUUCUCCAACUACUACCGCCAGUUCAUCCGAAAAUACAAAUGACUAAAUACUCAGUUCAAAUAUAUGUAAACGACACAUACUGCCCAUCUCUGGUAACAAAUGCCGUAGUGAUCCCAUUGACAGUACAUUUCAAGUACUCUGUUGUGAUUAUGGCAGAUCUUCAUUUGAAUGGUGUCAACUAGGGUAGGCCUAUCCUUAAUCAAGGUGGAAACUUUAUGGUGAGGCUUGUGGAGUUCCACAAAGCAAGGUCACAAUAGUUUGGCAGGACUUGACAGCUUUCUGUUUCUUACUGAAAUCAUACACCUUGUUGCCAGGUCGAGCAUAACAGUCGACUACAAGUCGAGAGCUUGGACUGUCAUUAGUUUCUCCAUAACCCCCACCAUCAUAAAAAAUUUAUUCAGCACCGGCCUUGUCUCUGCACUGAGGGCAGCUGCAGAUGAGACUGGUGUAGAUUAUUUUGAUCGGUUUACAUAUGACCAAAGGAUCAGGGUUGAUGUUUUAUUCUGAUAAAGGAAACCAACCGCAUUCAUAAACUAAAUGUUGAGAUGCACUCGCGCACCAACUCCUCACUUCCACAUGGAUACAAUAGACAGUGUGAAAAUAAGAAUAACAUUUGUCUCGUUUGAUAAUGAUGCAAUGUAGAGUAUAGCCUAUGGGACUGGGCUAGCCAACUUUCAUAAAUGACAGCCAAGCAUUACGUAGAGUUAGUGCAUGACGUGCACUUGCAAACAAACAGUAAAAUAUUGUCUAAAUAACAAACAAAAACACAUGACAUACGGGAUAAACAAACAACAUCCAUAAAUUAAAUGUUGUGCUGUCCGUAUUCACCAACUCCUCUGUAAAGUAUAAAUUAACAACCGGAGACAUGAAUAGCCAUGCUAGCCCAAUGACAAAUUGUAGGUAAUGUACUGUAGCUAGCUAGCAUGUACAGCAUUCACAAAUUAACAGAUAAAGUUCAUAAAUGCAUGAAAUCCAUAAAUAUCACAAUGUACUGGUAGAAGACAAUAAUAUUACAAUGUUAGUAGCAAUAUAAACUAUCUGUUUUAACACACAGGAUUAUGACUUUCAUGGGACAAUGUUCCAAUUACCUAGGAGGAAUGCAGAAAGAGAAGGAAAUGUGACAUUAAAAAGGGCACAUACAACAAAAGGAAUGUACAGUAAUAUCAGGCAUGGGAACUAAUCAGAUUUUAUGUAAAUAUACAACAUGAAAUUCAACACUUGUUACAUAGACACCGUUUUGAUUUCAGUGUUUAACGUAGCUCAUGCAGUAACUGUGUGAGAGCUACCGGAUCCCCCAGAUUGGACAGCUGGUCUGGUCCUGUACCACCGAUAUACUUGCCAAUGCCUCCACCAUUUUCCCACCACACACGCCACAGACUGAAGGCCGAUUCUUAAAGGGUAAUUCCGCCAAUUUUCAACCUCAUGUUCAUUUAUCUCCAAGACCAAACCCAUGUUUACAUGUGUGAAAACAGCGUGUUUUUAAGAUCGAUAAUGUUCUAAAAAAUGAUCCUCUGACAUCACAGGGUGAGGCUAGAAAGCGUAUAAAUGUGCCGUUUUCAAUAUGUAAACACUGGUAUUAUGCUAGAGAUAAUGAAAAUCAGGUUAAAGUGUUGGAAUUGACCUGUUAAGUUUUCAGUGAUGUGAUUUCUGGGUGAGAAUCGCGUCCCUCGUGGCCAAAUAAACUCGCCAGCUGCUGCACAUCACAAUGGAAAACCUUUAGCAAUGCAAAUAUUGUCUAUUGGACAGUCAGUUUACUUCGUGUUGGUUCCUAGUGAAUAGUAUUCAUUCCACCGACUAUGUUGCAAAACUGAAGCAAACGGAACAAAACGGGGAGGACAUACCUGAAUUUGUCCACUAGAAACUCUAGUGUUGCUCGGUUUGGUUCUUAAACGGUUUCCAUAAUGAAUACAC